rnacentral:rRNA from 1 species
UGGGGAAUAUUGCGCAAUGGGGGGAACCCUGACGCAGCCAUGCCGCGUGAAUGAAGAAGGCCUUCGGGUUGUAAAGUUCUUUCGGUAUUGAGGAAGGUUGAUGUGUUAAUAGCACAUCAAAUUGACGUUAAAUACAGAAGAAGCACCGGCUAACUCCGUGCCAGCAGCCGCGGUAAUACGGAGGGUGCGAGCGUUAAUCGGAAUAACUGGGCGUAAAGGGCACGCAGGCGGUUAUUUAAGUGAGGUGUGAAAGCCCCGGGCUUAACCUAGGAAUUGCAUUUCAGACUGGGUAACUAGAGUACUUUAGGGAGGGGUAGAAUUCCACGUGUAGCGGUGAAAUGCGUAGAGAUGUGGAGGAAUACCGAAGGCGAAGGCAGCCCCUUGGGAAUGUACUGACGCUCAUGUGCGAAAGCGUGGGGAGCAAACAGGAUUAGAUACCCUGGUAGUCCACGCUGUAAACGCUGUCGAUUUGGGGGUUGGGGUUUAACUCUGGCGCCCGUAGCUAACGUGAUAAAUCGACCGCCUGGGGAGUACGGCCGCAAGGUUA